UUUUACCCUUGAACAUUUGCUGUCUUUUUUUAACUACUAGGGAUGCUGAAGCAGCUUUUCUAGACUGGUUACUACCAGUGGUGGCUGGAGAGCAUGGACUGCCACUUGAGAGCAUCCCAGACUGCAAGAAGCAUGAGAAGGAUGAAUUGCUGGAGAUAAGCUGACAGGAGGUACAUUCCUGUUUGGGAGCAGAUGACACCUCCUCCAGUUUGUAAGAGAGUGAUAAAGAUAUUAUGAAGACAGAAGAGCUGCCUUGGCUGUCCUUGGAUCUCUCUCAGCGAGUUUCCGUGGAGUAUGGGAGGAGGCCCACGGGGCUGCCCCAGCCUGGGAAGAGAAAGCGGGGAAGCGCGAGGAGCAGCACUGCGGAGUUCACAGCAAAGGCGGACGGCGCGAAGAUCACUAACCAACUCCACAGGCAGGGCUGCUGUGGCAAGUGAAAUCCUUUUCAUAGUAUCAGCUCGACUCUAACACACAGAAGUAUUAAGUAGGGCUAUCCGGGAAGCAAAAAUCAAAUUUCAGGAAAACAAAUCAUCUUUCUGUUAUUUAGGGUUACAUUAGAUUACAAGGUCAGAAUAGACCACUGUGCUCAUUGAACAAAUCUCUUGUAUAAUGCUGUCCAAAAACCACUUAUAAAAACAUUUGUGUUUGAGUAGGAAGGUAUAUUUUAGGAAAAUCACCAAGUCUUCAUUUCCAAGAUGCAUGUGAUGUAAAACUACCACGGCUUUCACUUGUUCAACUCAGUUAAAUCAUCCCCAUUGCUAAAUCUUUGGAAUAUCUGACUGCCAUUUUUUCCAGCUGUAAUAGUCUGCACUGGGACCAAAUUCAAAUCCUUUGAAUUUUCCCAAGAAAAAAACAAGAAGCAAUAGACAGACAUCUUCAAAAAUCAAGUAGUUUGGUAGACCAAAGCUCUUUUAUGUGAAAAUGAUCCAUUCACUAUGUUUUGGUAAGCUGGAAAGAAACAUGCAAAGUCUCUGUGCUGUCAUUGCUUGUCAGCAUUGUAAGGGACCUGUAAUUCUUUCUUGUAAACUAUUGCUGUGAAAAAGAGGCAUUCCCUUGAUUAGUUCCCUUUCUAAGUAUUCCUUGCACUAAGCAAGAAUCCAGAAAUUUCCAAUAAUAUAAAGAAGAUGAAUGCCAAAUAUUAGAUAUAUGUGGUAAAAAAUUAAUCUGUUAAAAAUUAUCGUGAUCUGGUAAUUAGCCAUUCACAAAUCUUUACCGCUGAGGGAGAUAUUUUUUCCUUCCUUAUUAAUGGGUUAUAUAA